rnacentral:rRNA from 1 species
UACGGAGGGUGCAAACGUUGCUCGGAAUUAUUGGGCGUAAAGCGCACGUAGGCGGCUCCUCAAGUCGGAUGUGAAAGCCCUGGGCUCAACUCAGGAAGUGCAUCCGAAACUGUGGAGCUUGAAUGCCGGAGGGCCCAGAGAAUUCCCGGUGUAGAGGUGAAAUUCGUAGAUAUCGGGAGGAAUACCAGUGGCGAAGGCGCUGGGCUGGACGGUUAUUGACGCUGAGGUGCGAAAGCGUGGGGAGCAAACAGG